rnacentral:rRNA from 1 species
UGGGGAAUAUUGGACAAUGGGCGCAAGCCUGAUCCAGCCAUGCCGCGUGUGUGAAGAAGGUCUUCGGAUUGUAAAGCACUUUAAGUUGGGAGGAAGGUCAGUAGCUUAAUACGUUGCUGAUUUGACGUUACCGACAGAAUAAGCACCGGCUAACUCUGUGCCAGCAGCCGCGGUAAUACAGAGGGUGCAAGCGUUAAUCGGAAUUACUGGGCGUAAAGCGCGCGUAGGUGGUUUGUUAAGUUGGAUGUGAAAUCCCCGGGCUCAACCUGGGAACUGCAUUCAAAACUGACUGACUAGAGUAUGGUAGAGGGUGGUGGAAUUUCCUGUGUAGCGGUGAAAUGCGUAGAUAUAGGAAGGAACACCAGUGGCGAAGGCGACCACCUGGACUGAUACUGACACUGAGGUGCGAAAGCGUGGGGAACAAACAGGAUUAGAUACCCCCGUAGUCCCUGAG